rnacentral:sRNA from 1 species
CAGAGAGACACGCUGCCACCAGCACAAAUACUGCGACCCCAACCUAGGGCUUCGGGUCCAGCAGAAGGGCACCUCAGAAACAGACACCAUCUGCACCUGUGAAGAAGGCCGGCACUGUACGAGUGAGGCCUGUGAGAGCUGUGUUCUGCACCGCUCAUGCUCACCCGGCUUUGGGGUCAAGCGUAUUGCUGUGAGACCAAAGACCUGGUUGUGCAACAGGCAGGCACAAACAAGACUGAUGUUGUCUGUGGUGAGUCCUGGACAAUGGGCCCUGGAGAAAGCCUAGGAAGGUGGGAACUGAAGGGGGAGAUGAGGCACACAGGAACACUGGAUGGGAAAAGGGGGAGGGGAGGCAGUUUGGGGGUGUGGUAUCACAGCUCUGCCACUUAUCUUGGGAGCCUGGGCAAAUCACUUCCCCUCUCUUAGCCUCAGUUUCUUCAUCUGUAAAAUGGGAUGAUAACAGCACUUCCUUAGUAGGUUUUGAUUUUAGAGUGAGGAGGUUGGCCUACAGCAAAGAUCAGAUAAUGUAAAUCAGUGAAAAAGGUCAGGGGCAAGAAAAA